CCUACGGGAGGCAGCAGUGAGGAAUAUUGGUCAAUGGACGAGAGUCUGAACCAGCCAAGUAGCGUGAAGGAUGACUGCCCUCUGGGUUGUAAACUUCUUUUAUAUGGGAAUAAAAUGUUGCUCGUGUGGGAUUUUGUACGUACCAUAUGAAUAAGGACCGGCUAACUCCGUGCCAGCAGCCGCGGUAAUACGGAGGGUACGAGCGUUAUCCGGAUUUAUUGGGUUUAAAGGGAGCGUAGGUGGAGUGUUAAGUCAGUAGUGAAAGUUUGCGGCUCAACCGUAGAAUUGCAGUUGAAACUGGCAGUCUUGAGUGCAGUAGAGGUAAGCGGAAUUCGUGGUGUAGCGGUGAAAUGCGUAGAUAUCACGAAGAACACCGGUUGCGAAGGCAGCUCACUGGACUGCAACUGACGCUGAGGCUCGAAAGUGUGGGUAUCAAACAGGAUUAGAUACCCGAGUAGUC
rnacentral:rRNA from 1 species